UUCCCGAAUCUAGAAGAGUUAUUUAUUUUAUUGUAAUAAAUACUUAUAAUAUGUAAUGAAACGUUGAUAUAUCUGGUUUUUUUAGAAAAUUUAAUUUUUUCAUCUUCCUGGGGAUAAGCUCGGGAUAGGAUUAGAAGUUUUGUUAUAGUUAAUUUAUGAAAGUUUGAGUUUUAAUUUUUUAAGUAAUAAUGAUGGAAUUAGUAUAAGGUUAGCUAAAGGAACUCGGCAAAAGUUUUUCACCUGUUUAUUAAAAACAUGGCCUUUUGAAUAUGAUUUAAGGUCGGACCUGCCCCCUGAGGCCGCGGUAAUCUGACCGUGCAAAGGUAGCAUAAUCAUUAGUUUUUUAAUUGAAAGCUGGAAUGAAUGGUAUAAUGAAAAAGACGCUGUCUCUAGUUAAUAGAAUUUUAUUUUUAAGUUAAAAAGCUUAAAUUUUAAUUAAAGACGAGAAGACCCUAUAGAGUUUUAUUUUGGUUGGGGCGAUUGAAAGAUUAAUUUAACUUUUGAUUAUAAGAUUAAAUUACCUUAGGGAUAACAGCGUAAUUUUUCUUGAAGUUCUUAUUUAAAGAAGUGAUUGCGACCUCGAUGUUGGAUUAAGGCAGGUUUUGGUGCAGAAGCU
rnacentral:rRNA from 1 species